rnacentral:rRNA from 1 species
UAGGGAAUCUUCGGCAAUGGACGGAAGUCUGACUGAGCAACGCCGCGUGAGUGAAGAAGGUUUUCGGAUCGUAAAGCUCUGUUGUUAGAGAAGAACGUUGGUAGGAGUGGAAAAUCUACCAAGUGACGGUAACUAACCAGAAAGGGACGGCUAACUACGUGCCAGCAGCCGCGGUAAUACGUAGGUCCCGAUCGUUGUCCGGAUUUAUUGGGCGUAAAGCGCGCGCAGGCGGUUCUUUAAGUCUGAAGUUAAAGGCAGUGGCUUAACCAUUGUACGCUUUGGAAACUGGAGGACUAGAGUGCAGAAGGGGAGAGUGGAAUUCCAUGUGUAGAGGUGAAAUGCGUAGAUAUAUGGAGGAACACCGGUGGCGAAAGCGGCUCUCAGGUCUGUAACUGACGCUGAGGCUCGAAAGCGUGGGGAGCAAACAGG